AAGGAGGAAGAGCAGACAUGAGAAACUGCUUCUUUAACUUGCUUGGAAUCAACUCCAAUGUGUGCCUGGGAGAAGAAAAAUGAGUACGUGCACAAUAUGUCAAAACCCACAAGCAAGUCAAAUGCAAUCUGAAGGCAGAACCAAGCAGCUGAGUCAAGGAGUUCAAGUUUGGAAUGCCUGAAUCUGCUGUGGUUGUAGAAAAACUGCACAUGAAUGGAUCUCAUUUCUUG